GUCUAAGUACAUACCUUAAAACGGUGAAACCGCGAAUGGCUCAUUAAAUCAGCUACGGUUCCUUAGAUCAUAUAUACUACAUGGAUAACCGUAGUAAUUCUAGAGCUAAUACAUGCAAUUAUGCCUUGACCCGCAACGGAACGGGUGCAUUUAUUAGAACAUAUAUGUAAAAUAUCUUCAUUCGAACAUUAAUAAAGAGAAGAUCAGUAGUUCAGCGAAGAGUCUCUUUAUACCGGCGACUUCAUUUUAUUAGCUGUACAAUCGCAGAG
rnacentral:ncRNA from 1 species